rnacentral:rRNA from 2 species
UCGAACGCGUUGGCCCAAUUGAUUGAUGGUGCUUGCACCUGAUUGAUUUUGGUCGCCAACGAGUGGCGGACGGGUGAGUAACACGUAGGUAACCUGCCCAGAAGCGGGGGACAACAUUUGGAAACAGAUGCUAAUACCGCAUAACAGCGUUGUUCGCAUGAACAACGCUUAAAAGAUGGCUUCUCGCUAUCACUUCUGGAUGGACCUGCGGUGCAUUAGCUUGUUGGUGGGGUAACGGCCUACCAAGGCGAUGAUGCAUAGCCGAGUUGAGAGACUGAUCGGCCACAAUGGGACUGAGACACGGCCCAUACUCCUACGGGAGGCAGCAGUAGGGAAUCUUCCACAAUGGGCGCAAGCCUGAUGGAGCAACACCGCGUGAGUGAAGAAGGGUUUCGGCUCGUAAAGCUCUGUUGUUAAAGAAGAACACGUAUGAGAGUAACUGUUCAUACGUUGACGGUAUUUAACCAGAAAGUCACGGCUAACUACGUGCCAGCAGCCGCGGUAAUACGUAGGUGGCAAGCGUUAUCCGGAUUUAUUGGGCGUAAAGAGAGUGCAGGCGGUUUUCUAAGUCUGAUGUGAAAGCCUUCGGCUUAACCGGAGAAGUGCAUCGGAAACUGGAUAACUUGAGUGCAGAAGAGGGUAGUGGAACUCCAUGUGUAGCGGUGGAAUGCGUAGAUAUAUGGAAGAACACCAGUGGCGAAGGCGGCUACCUGGUCUGCAACUGACGCUGAGACUCGAAAGCAUGGGUAGCGAACAGGAUUAGAUACCCUGGUAGUCCAUGCCGUAAACGAUGAGUGCUAGGUGUUGGAGGGUUUCCGCCCUUCAGUGCCGGAGCUAACGCAUUAAGCACUCCGCCUGGGGAGUACGACCGCAAGGUUGAAACUCAAAGGAAUUGACGGGGGCCCGCACAAGCGGUGGAGCAUGUGGUUUAAUUCGAAGCUACGCGAAGAACCUUACCAGGUCUUGACAUCUUGCGCCAACCCUAGAGAUAGGGCGUUUCCUUCGGGAACGCAAUGACAGGUGGUGCAUGGUCGUCGUCAGCUCGUGUCGUGAGAUGUUGGGUUAAGUCCCGCAACGAGCGCAACCCUUGUUACUAGUUGCCAGCAUUAAGUUGGGCACUCUAGUGAGACUGCCGGUGACAAACCGGAGGAAGGUGGGGACGACGUCAGAUCAUCAUGCCCCUUAUGACCUGGGCUACACACGUGCUACAAUGGACGGUACAACGAGUCGCGAACUCGCGAGGGCAAGCAAAUCUCUUAAAACCGUUCUCAGUUCGGACUGCAGGCUGCAACUCGCCUGCACGAAGUCGGAAUCGCUAGUAAUCGCGGAUCAGCAUGCCGCGGUGAAUACGUUCCCGGGCCUUGUACACACCGCCCGUCACACCAUGAGAGUUUGUAACACCCAAAGUCGGUGGGGUAACCUUUUAGGAGCCAGCCGCCUAA